rnacentral:tRNA from 1 species
GCCGGAGUAACUCAGUUGGUAGAGUAGCUGCUUCGUAAGCAGCAAGUCGGGAGUUCGAGCCUCCCCUCCGGCUCCA